rnacentral:tRNA from 1 species
GUUUAAUUAGUAUAAAAAGUACAAUUAAUUUCCAAUUAAUAAGUUUAGAAUAAAUUAAACA